UAGGGAAUAUUGCAAAAUGGGCGAAAGCCCGAUGCAGCAACGCCGCGUGGGCGAUGAAGGCCUUCGGGUCGUAAAGCCCUUUUUGAGGGGAUGAGGAAGGACAGUACCCUCAGAAUAAGCCUCGGCUAACUACGUGCCAGCAGCCGCGGUAAAACGUAGGAGGCGAGCGUUAUCCGGAUUUACUGGGCGUAAAGCGCGUGCAGGCGGAUUGGAGAGUUGGAUGUGAAAGCUCCCGGCUUAACUGGGAGAGGUCGUUCAAUACUUCCAGGCUUGAGUGCAGUAGAGGGCAGUGGAAUUCCUGGUGUAGUGGUGAAAUGCGUAGAUAUCCGGAGGAACACCAGUGGCGAAAGCGGCUUCCUGGACUGUAACUGACGCUCAGACGCGAAAGCUAGGGUAGCAAACG
rnacentral:rRNA from 1 species